CCCCUUUCAGGGUGGCGCCUGGAGAGUUGCCAGUCCUCUACCAGUCUCGACUACGGGAGGGAGAGUCAAGCAGAGGCCUGUCCAUUCCAUUCCUAGCUUGGGCAGCGGCUAGUGAGUUGGAAGGCAAUCUGCCACAAGG